CUAAAACACACAUCGGCGGCGCGAAAGCUCGGCUGCUGCUGCUGCUUCUACUUGGUUAGCAGAACAGUAUACAUCCUCGAAGUUCUUCUCGUUAUACUUUUGAUUAAUGUUUCCAGAAAUAUCUACAGCCAUGGCCGAGAAUGAUUUCGGGGCGGAGAUGAUGCCGCGAGCACCGCCUAUCAAGAAGCGCGGAGCCAAUCCUCGCCAAGCGCUAGAGCAACAAACGCUGGAUUUAAGCAUGCUUUGUGCUGCAGGAAGCAUUUUUUACUCAACAGAUAUGGUAUAUCGCAGCAACAUUUAUCUUUACUUGAUGUCUUAAUAUAGUUGAGAUCCGAACGUUUUUAUUUUGAUGAAAUAAUUAUGGAUCUAUUGCCUCGAAACUUUUAUUUGUGGGCCAUUAUAUUAUUG